UCUUGUACAUAAGCAAAGAAAGUGGUUUCUUGAGAAGGAAACUACUCCUGGUGAAGAUGCUGUGAA
rnacentral:pre_miRNA from 1 species